GGCAACAGCUCAAUUUGAAAUCUGGCUUCGGCCCGAGUUGUAAUUUGCAGAGGAAGCUUUAGGCGCGGCACCAACUGAGUCCCCUGGAACGGGGCGCCACAGAGGGUGAGAGCCCCGUAUAGUUGGACGCCUAGCCUGUGUAAAGCUCCUUCGACGAGUCGAGUAGUUUGGGAAUGCUGCUCAAAAUGGGAGGUAAAUUUCUUCUAAAGCUAAAUACCGGCCAGAGACCGAUAGCGCACAAGUAGAGUGAUCGAAAGAUGAAAAGCACUUUGAAAAGAGGGUUAAAUAGCACGUGAAAUUGUUGAAAGGGAAGCGCUUGUGACCAGACUUGCGCCCGGCUGAUCAUCCGGUGUUCUCACCGGUGCACUCUGCCGGGCUCAGGCCAGCAUCGGUUCUCGCGGGGGGAUAAAGGUCCUGGGAACGUAGCUCCUCCGGGAGUGUUAUAGCCCAGGGCGUCAUGCCCUCGCGGGGACCGAGGUUCGCGCAUCUGCAAGGAUGCUGGCGUAAUGGUCAUCAGCGACCCGUC
rnacentral:rRNA from 1 species